UCAUUUCUGUGUAUGAAUUCACAGAAGAUAUUGUGGCUGAUGUCAUUUUUGAUGGCCUCGAAGAAAAAUACAGGAGUGAACUACCAGAAGAAUGUUUAAAGCAGUUAAGUGCAUUGGUCAAGUGCUCUGGUUUCAAAUUUCAAGAAGCUUUAAUGUCUGCUUUGAAGAAGAUUGUAUUUCGGUAUAUCCAGUCAGGAUUUGCCAGCCAAGAUGAGAAACUGGCGCCCUUACUCAUGGAGAAAACUCUGUGGCCACAGGGAGUUUAUGAAGAUGCAGUUGCUAAAAGUAGUAAUGCAGAUGCUGGACUACUUCAUGAUGCGCACUGCAUUGAACACAUUCACUGUACCAUUGUCUUCAUCGCUGAAAGUUUUCAGGAGCUGAAAAUGAAGGAGGAGAAGAGAUCAUCACUGUUUCAUCCUGUUCCAAAGCAGAUGGAGAAGAAACAACAACGUAAGAAAAAAGCAGUGGGCUUUCGGAAGAAGUAAUAAAGACUGGUUCACAGAAACUGAAGACAAAGGAUAGAAGACAGGUGUUUGUGCAUGAAAUGAGUUGAAUAACUUAUGAAAAGAAAUUGGAGCUAUGUUUGUAAUGAGGCACAUCUUCAUCAUACACUGAGUUUGAGUGUGUUUUAAUUUGUUUUUAUGAUUAAUGCAUCUAUAGCAUUACUUAUGUAUAUUACAUGUAUUUCUUAUGCAUAUCACGUUUCAUUUCUCUAUGUACUUAUAUUACUAUUGGUAAUGAAACUUGAAACCUAAAAUGAUAGUGGUAUUUGGUGUCUAUGUUGUCUGUAAUUAACUGAACUGUAUCUAAUAUGCUUAUGUUUGUGCAGUUUUGUUCUGACUAAUAUUGACCCUCUUGCAGAGGCCAAAUUGGGCCUCAGUUAUUUGAACCUGUUGUUUAUUAUAGCCAACCAAUCCCCACAUGUCUUUGCUGAUCCAAACUAGAUUACUGAUGUCUUCAGUCUUGUCCCAUAGAUAUGGACUACUUUAAUUGGAUAUAUAUUUUUUCAAUUACAUAUCUGGACAAGAAACCAUUUUUAAAGUUUUCACCUGCAUUUAAAUUUUUUUUAAACUCUGAUACACCAACAUGCAGUCAUGCAUGUAUGUGCCAACUUGAAAAUUUUAUUGAUACCAGCAACAAAACAAAGAAACUACUGAUAUUGCCUUUAUCAGUAUUCUGUAAAUAAGGAAAUAAUGUUCCGGUUUCUUAAAAAUAUGCCACAUGUCAUGACCUUGAACAAAUCUAUUGAUGUUGAUAUGGACCUAAAACUCUUGUACUUUGUGCAUACAAUUGCUUUGAUGAUAUUACUCAUUUGAAUAUUUUAUUUGUAUUUAUACUCAUGGAAACGAAUAAGGGAACACAUGAAAGUACAAGUGUUCCUUUAUGCUUUCCAGGUUGCUUCAACAAGGUAUUUAUUGCACUGUGAGCGAAAUUCUGGAAAUAAAUAAAGGAACACUUGUACUUUCAUGUGUUCCCUUAUUUGUUUCUAUGAGUAUAUGAACCUGAUACAUCAUAUGUUGAUGUGACCAUUAUAUAAUGCUAAUGUAAAUAUCAAGUAAACCCAAUGUUGGUUUCGAUAGCAAAAUAUGAUGUAAAUAUGGACCUGAUACAGUGGUAUCCUACAGAUAUAUCCUUUCCCUAUGUGACCUGCUCAUAUAUUAUUCAUAAAUGACUUAAGUUUACAUGGCCUU